UUUGAUGGAUUUCCAGCUCAAGACGUGUGAUACAUGUAACUUCAAUAUAGAGAUUUUCUUAAGUGCCAGUUGCAGCCCCGAUUUCAACUUGCAGGCUGGAGCAGAUUCUGCUCCACGGGGAUCUGAAAGAGCUUUUCCAAUCAACAAUUCAUUGAAUGAAGUCUCCAGAAAUCUGCUGUUGUCCUUUCCAUCCUGAGCUGAC